GUCUGACCUGCUGUAUCGGUUUCCUUAUGUCCUUAGCUCCAUAGUGUAAACAGUUCAUUAGCUUCAGUUUUUCCCUUCUCACAGUACCCAAAAUAGGAGUUUCCAUAUUGAUAUAAACUCUACAGACACACUAGCCUCAUUUUUCCAUUCUCACAGUAUCCAAAAUCGGAGUUCUCUUGUCGAUAUAAACUCUACCAACCAUGCUUUCUGCCCCUUCCUCUUGCAUCAGUUUCCUCAUGUUCUUUAAUCUUAGUAUAGCCAAUCCAUUAGUUUCAGUUUUUCCAUUCUCACAGUAUCCAAAAUCGGUGUUUUCUUGUCGAUAUAAACUCUACCAACACACCUUUCGCUCUGGCCUCCUGCAGCAGUCUCCUUGUUCUUUUUAGUUUCUUCCCCCUCUUAAAAAUAUCCAGAAUAGCACUUAUAAACACUACAAACUCGCCUGUCUCUCCAGUCUCUUGCAUUCGUCUUCUAUCUCUUUCUAUGUUAUUCUUUUUCCUUACGUUCCUAUUUCCUUCCUUAUGUCACUCUUCUUUAUUUCCUUAUGUUCUUAUGUCCUCUUUCCCUCUCCCCCUGUGGUUCCGUGACAUCUCCCGGUCUGUAAGUAAAUGUUAUCCUUCACGACAGUCCUUUUGUACAUAAAGAAUAUUAUAAUUUACUUAAUAGCCUAUAUAUAAUUUUUAAUCCUCCUAUGGUGCUUACCGUGAACCAAGUAUAUAAGUGUGCGGAGACUUGUCCAGUGUGUGUUGCGUCAUUAUUAUUAUUAUUAUCAUUAUUAUCCUCCUUUGUACAUUUUCCGGGAGCCGAGGGCGCUGUGGAUAUAGGCAUUAUUAUUAAAGUUACUUGGUGUGUGGAUAUCAGGAACUUAACCAGACUUUUUAUAAUGCCUCAUACUUUUUCUAAGCCUAAGCACUGCAUUCACGAUAGUCUGCAUACGAUCACUACAACAACUGCUACUGUUAUGACCCCUGCUGCUCCUGCUACUACUACUAUUAUUAUGACCCCUACUGCUACUACUGCUAUGGUUACUACUGCAUUUAUUGUGGUAGGUUAACACUGAAUCUCGGUAAACACACACUCGCCAGCAAUGGGUUAGUGUCCCCUGAUCAUCUGCUGACGACUUGCUUUCCUUCGCUGAGAUAUAAAAAUUAGUGUUUCUCCGUCAUGGGAAAACACUUUGCCGUAUAAUUAAAGGUAACUAUACAUACAUACAGACAGACAGACGUGCAGAAGGGCAUGUGUACAUACGUAUAUUGGUACAGUACUAUGUGUGAGAGAUGUUACGAUGACUGCCACUACUAGCCCAAGACGACAACCACCUCACUUCUCCGUUUCUCUCCUUUCCCGUCUUUCUGUGGCUGGUUAGUCAUUUCUUCCCUCUGAGAAGUGACUGUUUCAUUUCCUUUCCCUACAUUCUGUGGCGGGUUACUCGCUUCUUGCCUCUAAGAUGUGAUGAGUGGUAACCUUCCCACUUCAAGGCCCCGUCCACAUAAUCGGGCACUGCCCUUCACCGGGCAAAGUCUGCAGACACACUUGUAUUCUCGUCCACACAGCAGUGUCUGGCACAUUCAAAGCCAGGCAGCCAGGCAGGGCGGGUUCACUUAUUGAAGCUGUGUUUAAUAUGAUAUUUGUGUAGUGGGAAGGACUGGAAAAAGCCAGCACUGUGUAGCAUGAUCAUUUAUGCUCUAUGUGUGAAAAAAAGGAACAAAAGGGAAAAAAAAGGUGUGUGUGUACUUCUGGGCAGUGCCUGGUGAAGUCCCUCAGCCACCAACGUGGGUAUUUUACUAGUUUGCCCACAAGGCACAAGUGGUAAGUCCAUCAAGAGACAAACUGCUCACUUGUGCCUGUGGGCAUUGCCUGAUCAUGUGGACGGGUCCUUACACACAGCAGAGAGUUGAGCUGACGAUGACGGAUGACAAUGAUGUUAAGUUCCAAAUGUAUUCUAUUCGUACGAUUGUUUGUGAGCCAUAAUGCAAAGUGAUGACGACGGAGAAUGGGUGCGUAAAGGAGGACCGCUAUUGCUAUUUUUCGUCUACCUUGGGUGUGGCAUUAGGGUGAGGUGUUGGUGGGCACAGGCUGGGUGGCUUGAUGGGUGAGGUGUUAGGGUGGGUCAGGCUGGGUAGGUUUGAGGUAUUGAGGGUUAUGUAUGUGUGUGUGUGCGCGUGCAUGCGUGCGUGUGUGUGCACCUACCCUGCCCUCCCACCCACCCCCACCCUGCCCUGCCUCGGAGUGAGUUCGAAUUACGUCUUUUUGGAAAUUAUUUGCGUACUAGAUCAGGUUAAAAUAAUUGUUGUUGAAGCUUGAGACUCGGACAUUAGUAGUGUGUUUACUUCAUGACUUUGUAAUGUGGCGAAUAAAUCAUUUAUAUAGCA